rnacentral:rRNA from 1 species
UACGUAGGGCGCAAGCGUUAUCCGGAAUUAUAGGGCGUAAAGAGCUCGUAGGCGGUUUGUCGCGUCUGCCGUGAAAGUCCGGGGCUCAACUCCGGAUCUGCGGUGGGUACGGGCAGACUAGAGUGAUGUAGGGGAGACUGGAAUUCCUGGUGUAGCGGUGAAAUGCGCAGAUAUCAGGAGGAACACCGAUGGCGAAGGCAGGUCUCUGGGCAUUAACUGACGCUGAGGAGCGAAAGCAUGGGGAGCGAACAGG